ACGCACACGCACACGGACACACACACACGCACACGCUCACCACCUCAACCAGGAAGCAAAAUAUACACACAAACACGGAGUAAGGAACGAAAGAAAAAAAAGGAGAAAAAAACCCAGGAAAGAAAAAAGAUCUUGUUUUCAGCAGGUUGCGGUACAGAAGCCGAGCGUGCAUGUGUUUAUUCCGCUGAGCGCGUACGGUUGCUGUGGGCAGUAUGGGACAGCUCCUCGGAAAACGUGAAUUGUUGCCUGAGUCCAAGGCUCUAUCAGACCCAGCUACUAGGACCGCAGCGGACGGCGACUCUCAGGACGAGGUCUUUGGCAUGAACGACUCGGACGUCAACCAGAACAAAAACCGCUCAAACAAAAGCGAGACGACGUCAAGCCCCGCCCCCGCCAUCCACCCCAGCGCCGGACAGACCAACCAGGCCAUGGGAUAUUGGCCACGCCCACACCUGGUCCGCCUCUUUUCCCGUGAUGCCCCGGGCCGAGAGGACAACACCUUCAAAGAGCGUCCGUCAGAGUCAGACGAACUUCACACCAUCGAGGAGGCUGAAGGAGCCACGUCUGAAAACUCAGAGUGAAAGCCCAAAUAAACUCGACUCGUUCACUCGCUACUUUCGCUCUUCGCACCAAACAUGGCAUCUUCAGGCUCAGCGGGACAGUCCAGACUCGGGCGUGGAAAGAAAAGCCCCGGGGUGAUGGAUCAGAUUGGAAAAAUCUUUGGAGGAGAUAAGAAGCGGAAGAGCAAGGGGGAUCAGAAGAGCUCAGUGAAGGCGCAAAAAGGGCGUGCAGGAGAAGGACAGGGCACGCUGACCCGCAUCUUCAAAAUGGGAGGAACCAGAGCAGCAUCUCCAGCCAAACGCUGAGUUCCAGCCCUUUUCUCAUUCUCCAUUAAACGUGAUGACCCUGAACGGAGAGAAAGAAAAGAAGAAGGAAGCUUUUUUUCACCACUUACACUUUUUUCCUUGCCGGAAAAGCAUUAACCCGAACACACAUUGUGCUCUGUCUGUUCAUAGAUUUAUUUAUGUCAGUUUUCUCAGUCUGUUGAGUUUAGCGUGGUCAGAUCCUGCACUCCCCCUCCCGCAUCGUGUCCAUCCUUGUCUUUUGAAAACAUGAGGCACUGAAGACCUUUUGAGCAAAUCGUUCCGAUCAUGAUUAGAAAACUAACACUUUUCGCUUUAUAUCACUGAGCAUAAACCGUGACGUGUUUAAAAAGUCGAUCGUUGUUCUAUUACAAUGUGAUGUUACUAGCUAAUUGCCAAAAAAAAACUUUGAUAAGGAGCUAGCUUGCUAGUUUAGCAUAUCCACAGAAGCUAGGACUGCAUUUAUUUGCAGGUUAGAUCAUUAAGCAUACGAGUGUCAAAACAAAAUUAGCCUCAAAAGGUUGUAGUGCACAUUUAUAUUACUGAAUCUUUGUCUUGUAGCACUGUCUUUGUCUAAGAAGUCAAUGUGACUAGCAUUUAGCAUCUAAACAUCUAAUUGUUUUCAUGUGCCUUCACACGGUCUCGUCUCUUAAACUUAUUCUUCCUUGCUGUCUCAGUGGAUCUGAUCGCAAACUUUAGAGCUAAGUAACACAAAAGUCGUCUCUUGUUGAUUUUUAGUCAAAGGGUUUCCAAAUUCUUUGUUCAUGUUUAGUCACUGCAUUUGCUGUUGACUUUUUCUCUCUCGCCUCUUUGGCCUUUGACUACUUCUUUAAGCUUUUUCAAAUAAAACCAUGCCCCAAUAAGACAUGGAUAUAAAAAGCCAUAGAUUUUAUGCAUGUAUUUGUCAGUUAGAAUGCUAAUGGAGUGAUGGGAAUCAUUAAAAAUGCAAAUAAAGGAGACAUAUAUAUGUGUCA